ACGACUCAACAAUGGAUAUCUGGGCUCUUGCAUCGAUGAAGAACGUAGUGAAAUGUGAUACUUGGUGUGAAUUACAAAAUCUUGUGAACCUUCGAGUCUUUGAAUGUAAGUUGUGCCCUAGGCCAUCGUGCUGAGGGAAAGCCUGCCUGGGCAUCA